ACACGCGCGCAUCACCUGUGGUGCGGUCAGAAGGCUGGCCACAACACCAGAGAAAAAGUUGUACUUACCGAUGGCUGUCAUCGCUUUUUCUGACAGAUGUUUUUGCGUGAUCUAUCACACGAGCUCCGUCGUUUCCGAACAGAUUCCGCCGAUAGUCUCACCUUUAGACCUUUUCUGAACUCAAUAUUGUCGCGAUAGUAGGGAGACAGAUUCUAACCGAGUGUGCUCGCUUUUAAGUUUAAAGGGUGCGUCAUUGGAAUUCCAAGGAUCACGAUUACGCGAGAGAAGAUCGUGUUAAAAAGGGGGCUGAAAGAAUAAAACAGGGGAAUAUUAAAGUGCGAGAAGAGAUCACGUGAAAUAAAGAGUGUGACUGAGGAACAAAGGGUAUGGCGAAGACGUAUGAUUAUUUGUUCAAGUUGUUGCUGAUUGGUGACUCAGGGGUCGGCAAGACGUGCGUCCUCUUCAGGUUCUCCGAGGAUGCUUUCAACACGACCUUCAUCUCGACCAUUGGAAUUGAUUUUAAAAUAAGAACCAUAGAAUUAGAUGGCAAGAAAAUAAAAUUACAAAUAUGGGAUACAGCAGGCCAAGAAAGGUUUCGUACAAUAACCACAGCAUAUUAUCGUGGUGCAAUGGGUAUAAUGCUAGUUUAUGAUGUAACCAACGAGAAAAGUUUUGAGAACAUAAAGAACUGGAUUAGGAACAUAGAAGAAAAUGCCUCUGCGGAUGUUGAAAAGAUGUUAUUGGGCAAUAAGUGUGAGCUCACAGAAAAACGGCAAGUUUCAAAGGAACGAGGGGAACAACUUGCUGUUGAAUAUGGAAUAAAAUUUAUGGAAACCUCUGCUAAAUCUAGCAUUAAUGUUGAAGAGGCAUUUUAUACCCUUGCACGAGAUAUCAAGGCUAAAAUGGAAAAGAAACUGAGAUUAAAACUGACUCUUGUUUAGAUAUAGUUUAGUGGCUUUCACAGAUAUAUUCUAGAAAAUAGGUAUACACUGAUUAACCACCAUUUCUUUGUUUCCUGUGUCUGUUUCUCUGUGUUUGGUGCGGGUCUGUCUCGGCAGAAGGAGGCAUCAAAUCCACCGAAAGGAGGAGGACAUCAAUUGAAAGCAUCCGAGCCACAAAGGAAGCCACCAAGUUGGCUUGCACGAUGCACUAUACUCUGACCCAUCAGCCGGCAUAUCCUCGACCGUCACCAACUACUCUUUACCUUCGGUCUCCUUCGCUCGCUGCACGUCGCGAGUACUUCUGUGAUUUUACUCCUUGACGGCCACCUUCGUUUCCCUCCGUCGCUGCCGGUCUCUCUUUUUUACUGAUUACUCAUAGGAGCUCUUUUUAUCCUGGAGGAGAAACUGCCUUUCCCCUCAUCCUUUCCGAAAAGAAAUUAAAAGAACAAAAAAAGUAAAAAAAAAAAAAAAGAAAAAAAAGAAACAAAAAAGGAGAAGAAGAAAAAAAGGCACGUUCAAAAGAGAAUUUCCCGAAGGAAACGAAUCGCGAAUUGUGAUAAUUUUUGAUAAUUUUUUAACGACGCUCGAAUACCACCUCGUAAGUCACAUCGUUUCUACUUGUCACGUUUCAUAACGAAAUAUUAGGAGUGCAAUUGAUCGAGCAGUCUUUAGAAUGCUUACGCCGUGUAAAAUUGAUAUACUGUCGAAGAAGGAUAAUCUUAACUUCUCGACCAGUCAAUGAGCAAUCUAGAAAAUAAAUCAAUUUUUAGAAUUGCGCGUCGUAAAUAACGUGCAAUUCUGCUUUUCGUUUAUCGUGCGAUUCAUUUACAUACGUUGUAAGCUUUGCUAUAAAUGAGGAUAAUAACGACGAUAAGCUGGAAGUUGGCCACCCGUAGAAACAAUAAUAAAUCGUUGAUUUGUUUUUAACGCGUUAACUUAUAGUGGCUCAUGAAAGUAUUCUAAUAAUUACCGUAGAACUAUUUUGUGAAUAUAUUACGUGUAAUGUACGAAAAUUUUUUAAAAUUUUGUUUCCACUGUAAUGAGACACAAUUAUCGUGAUUAUUAUGAUAAAAUUUGAAAUCGAUUCGAAAGUGUAUAUAGAAAUUUCAAGAUAUUUAUUGCAAAUAUACAGUUAGUGAAAAAUUAGUACACAGCAUGAAUAGUCAUCUUAAACGUAAGUAAAUGAUAAAGAUGAACUAUCUGAACAUAGAGAAUUAUUAAUAUAAUGCAUAAUUGACUGUUUAAAUACUUUUGUGACCCCUAUAAAAUAUAUGCUUCUACCAUCUUGUAGCUUCUAUGUACAUUUGCAAAUUUUUUCUUUAUCAAUAUAAUCGUACUAUUUAGGUUUCAUUACAGUACUAAUAAAAUUUCAAGAUGUUUCCUAUAACACAUAAUAUAUCCAUAAAAGGUUUUUGUAAAUAUCUGAAUAUUUUCAGGAGCUACUGUAUAUUUUGAAAAUCUCUGUUCUCGUUUAAACGAUCGUUCGAUAUUCAGCAAGUUUGCUUCUAUUGUAUUAAAAUUCGACUAUGUUAAAUGAAUGCAGAUAAAUAUGAAAAAUAUAAGAUGUUUUUAUAUUUUUAUGUUCAGAUGCUAUGCAUACGAAGUUUCUCCUCCAUGUUUUAAUUAAUCAAGGGGUACGAUUUUUUAACACAUAUUUUUUGCAUUCGCUUUAUUUAAAUGAGUGAAAAAAGAGAAACAAAAGGAAGUAAACAAGAAAGAGAAAAUGAAAGGAAGAAAUUUCUCUCCGGCCAACGCAUGAGAAAUCUCUUCUUUUUUUGAAAAGCAUUUCGAAGCUAUUUCUUUAUAAGACAUUGUAAAAGCAAGACAAAAAAGAAGGGAGAUGCGAAUAGGUGAACAAUGGGCGGUCAUUUUUUAUAUAUAAAUAUAAAUAUUUAUAUAGAUAUAUAUAUACAUGCAUAUAUAUCUAUAUACACAUCGUCAAGUUAGCUUUUUCACCGGAUCGAAGAAGAAUUCCUCAUUUUAUUAAUUCAAUAAUUAGCGCAAAUUCAGAACUCGAAAAAGAAAGAAAAUAAGACGAGAAGGCUUUUUCAAUAUUUUUGAUUUAAACUCUUUUUAUUCCUCCCUUUUUCUCUGUUGUUAAAGAAAUAAUAAAAAGGAAAACAAGAAAAAAAUGGAUAAAAGAAGUAAUACAAAAAAGAUGGAUCACGGAUUUCGUCUUCGUUUGAAACGCUUGUUGUAAUAGUUUUCUUUUUCCAAAGAAACAGAGGGUUCUCUUUUUUUUUGUUUCUUGUUUCCUAAGAACGAGAAAAAAGGGAUUCCAAUCUGUUUCCACUUAUAUACUUAAAAUAUACGAUUAUUAUAAUACAUUUUAUAUUAAUCCUA